rnacentral:lncRNA from 1 species
GCGAUCCAUCCUGUUUGUUUUUAUCACAGAUCCGGCAGAAUUCGAUUCACCCCCACCCCCGAGAACCCCAAACUCCUGUGUACUAAAGCUUUUUGACUCCCUACACAGACUUGUCUACUUUCUCCUCAACCAGCAACCCCAGAUGGGCCCCACGCAGGAGUGUGACAAUUAAGGUCGGCCUGGCCAAUACCCAACUGUGGUUUCUUUAGCCUCGCAAGUAACAAUGGUCACAACUGUCACCAUGUGUCUCGGCACUGUUACCCCAUUGGAGAUAUGUUUUUGUUUAAAGCACAACAGAAGCGUUCUAGAAGGCUCAGGACAAACCGACUGCCUUAAAUAAACCAGAUUUCUUUCUGAUCUAAUGCAAAGGAACAGGAAACUGAAAACCACAACACUCAGAGGCACAACUUCCUGUGGGACUUCUGGUGUCUGCGGUCGGUCGGGUCGGUCGGAGCGGAGCGAAAGGAACUGAAUACAGCAGCUUUAGAAAUCUUAGAAUUGCUAAGUACCAUGGCCUUGAUUCAAUGAACUGUGUCUACACUCACUCAUUAUAUAUGGAUAUUUAUGUUUCUACUGUAAAAACGAAACAAAAGACAACCACCUCUAGAAAGGCAUAGUGAGGUUGCUUUUCAUAAGUGCUGUGGGUUUAUUCCUGGAAAGGAAAGAGGAAAUGUUGGGCACCAUGAGGUGAUCUUGAUAAUGCAACGGGAGAGAGUAUACUUAGCCCCCCCCACCCCCCCCCCCGAGGUAUCAACAGUAGGGUACUGUCACAGAGUGUUCUGACCAGGCCACAUCACUAAGGAGUCUGUGGAUGGCUUCAGGACUUUCCUAUGCCCAUAGUCACAGGGCAGAACAAAAUGGGAACAAACUUUCUCUGACUUGUCAAAUUUCUAGAGUCCUUAAACAGUCAGGGCACAGUAGUGUAUGCCUUUAACCCCAACAGAGGACAGAGGCUGAGGCAGGCAGAUCUCAGUGAACCCUAGGCAAGCUGGUCUGCAUAGUGAGAUCCAGAACAGCCCGAGCUACUGAGAAAGGAGAGACCCACCUCAAUGGAUAGAAAUGAGUAGGGGAGUCAGUUCUUUCCUUUUACCAGGUCCCAGGUCCUUAUGCUUGGCUCUUCACUGCUGAGCCAUCUCACCAGCCCUUAUUUGUAUCAUUUUAAAAUAAAC